rnacentral:lncRNA from 1 species
UGAAAAGCUGCCAGCGACACCCGAUGCUCUUCCGGUGUUUCCUGAAAAUAAAAAAAUUGGUCAACUCGAUUAAGCCACUCCGUAGGAUCAGUUCCAUCGUACGUGGAAAAAUCGAUGUGAGCUAGUCGGGCACCGAACACGGGUCGCGGCCCAUCAUUCCGCUCGGGGCCACUUUCGCGACUCGGCCAUUCCGGAGUGCUUCUCCCGGUGGAGUUGCUGAUGGAUGCUUCCUUAUUUAGAUUCAGCGAUUCGGUCAAGCAUCGGAGAGUAUCCUCAAUCGCCAGCAGUUUGCUCGCCAUUCCGUUCUCCAUCUGACUGAAGCGGUCUUGCAGCCCUCCAACACUGGCCUCUUAAGGUUUUAAUUCGUUCUUUGUUUGUUGCCAUUCCCUGCUCUGAUACCAAUGAUGUGGUCCCAAUCAAAACAGCAUUAAAAAAAAAAAAAACAAGAAAAUUCCUCUUAGAGUGAGAAGGAACUCAAUUUUCAUUGAUAACCGAAGACAUACAUUGACUUCCUACUUGAAUGUUUAAAUAGAAGAUAAAAUAACUGUAAAUACAAAACUGCUCCUGCUAUUCAGGGCAAAAACAUUAAUUUAGGGAUAAAGGAAACUGCCUACAGAUUGAUGGAGAUCAUGGCAUCAGGGUAACUGAUUUUUUUUCAACUGUUGAUUGAGUCAUGGGAGACGGUUGCUGUACUUGGGGUUGGGUAUCUGAUGCCGUUGUGAUUUCCGGGUUGUAUCAGUUUGUGAUUUAAGCUUAUUUCUUCCAUAAUGCUAGCUAGGUAAGGCAUGUCAAUGUGGUAAGUGGUCUUUGUAAUUAGCUAACACUAAAGAAAUUUAAACUUAACCAAAUGUCCAUUUGCUAACAGCAGAGCGUUAAGGUCAUAGUCUCAUGGGGCACAAGAAAAGAGUGCUUAUAAAAUUGUACAUAUGUAUGUGAACUUUGUGUGCUUAUGCUAGCAUAUUUUCCUUCGGACUCUCCAUAAGUGGGGAGAGGUUAUAAGAAUACGAUCCAGGGAAUAUAGCAACUAGCUCAAGGGUUAAUUUUAUGAGACACCUCCUCAUCUUGAUUAUUUGAAGUUUGGAAAUGAUGGAGGAUUUGAUUGUGCAAUUAAAGACCAGAUUUCAUGGAAGAUUAUGAAAAUAAUCGGAUCCCUUUUAUUUUUUAUUUAUUUGUUAGUAUAUAUGUACACAAUCUUUUUUAUUGGUUGAAUUUGAUAAAUCCUUUUUCUUUCAUAUAUCGUGCAUAACAAACCACAAUAUGUGUAGUAGAAGUUCUUAACCUUACUGGAAUGAGACAGUUAACUUAAGUUGAUCCUUUCCACAGGUUAGAAAGAUUACAACAUGCUUUGUAUAUAAGGAGAUAUGGGUAUCUCUAUCUUUUGCACUCUUGUUUUAGAGAGAAUUUAUUUUAAUCCAGAUUGUCUCUCUUGAACUUUGAGUAUGAUGAACGAUAGAUAUCAAUGGUAUGUGUAUUAAGGUAUUAUUGGAAGGAAAUGAUGUCAAAUUAUUAGUGCUUGUGUUGUUAUUAUCUUUAUACAUCCAUAUGAUUUAUAAGACAGAGAGUAGAGUAAAUAACAUUAGAUUUCAAGGUUUGUUGUGG